CGCAGAGAAUCGGUGGCUGCGACUGUUUAUUAAAAACACAGCACUCUGCUAACACGAAAGUGGACGUAUAGGGUGUGACGCCUGCCCGGUGCUGGAAGGUUAAUUGAAGAUGUGAGAGCAUCGGAUCGAAGCCCCAGUAAACGGCGGCCGUAACUAUAACGGUCCUAAGGUAGCGAAAUUCCUUGUCGGGUAAGUUCCGACCCGCACGAAUGGCGUAACGAUGGCCACACUGUCUCCUCCCGAGACUCAGCGAAGUUGAAGUGGUUGUGAAGAUGCAAUCUACCCGCUGCUAGACGGAAAGACCCCGUGAACCUUUACUGUAGCUUUGCAUUGGACUUUGAAGUCACUUGUGUAGGAUAGGUGGGAGGCUUAGAAGCAGAGACGCCAGUUUCUGUGGAGCCGUCCUUGAAAUACCACCCUGGUGUCUUUGAGGUUCUAACCCAGGUCCGUCAUCCGGAUCGGGGACCGUGCAUGGUAGGCAGUUUGACUGGGGCGGUCUCCUCCCAAAGAGUAACGGAGGAGUUCGAAGGUUACCUAGGUCCGGUCGGAAAUCGGACUGAUAGUGCAAUGGCAAAAGGUAGCUUAACUGCGAGACCAACAAGUCGAGCAGGUGCGAAAGCAGGACAUAGUGAUCCGGUGGUUCUGAAUGGAAGGGCCAUCGCUCAACGGAUAAAAGGUACUCCGGGGAUAACAGGCUGAUUCCGCCCAAGAGUUCAUAUCGACGGCGGAGUUUGGCACCUCGAUGUCGGCUCAUCACAUCCUGGGGCUGUAGUCGGUCCCAAGGGUAUGGCUGUUCGCCAUUUAAAGUGGUACGUGAGCUGGGUUUAAAACGUCGUGAGACAGUUUGGUCCCUAUCUGCAGUGGGCGUUGGAAGUUUGACGGGGGCUGCUCCUAGUACGAGAGGACCGGAGUGGACGAACCUCUGGUGUACCGGUUGUGACGCCAGUCGCAUCGCCGGGUAGCUAAGUUCGGAAGAGAUAAGCGCUGAAAGCAUCUAAGCGCGAAACUCGCCUGAAGAUG
rnacentral:rRNA from 1 species